GGCGGGCCUCCCCGCAUCGCAUCGUGGUGAACCUGGUCAGGUCCGGAAGGAAGCAGCCACAGCUACGUAAUGCGAGUGCCGGGGUUACGGCUCGCCCAC
rnacentral:SRP_RNA from 1 species